rnacentral:rRNA from 1 species
GACGGUACCUGAAGAAAAAGCAUCGGCUAACUCCGUGCCAGCAGCCGCGGUAAUACGGAGGAUGCAAGCGUUAUCCGGAAUCAUUGGGCGUAAAGGGUCCGCAGGUGGCCAAUCAAGUCGGCUGUUAAAGACCGGGGCUUAACUCCGGGCAGGCAGUGGAAACUGAUUAGCUAGAGUACGGUAGGGGUAGAGGGAAUUCCCAGUGUAGCGGUGAAAUGCGUAGAUAUUGGGAAGAACACCGGUGGCGAAAGCGCUCUACUAGGCCGAAACUGACACUGAGGGACGAAAGCUAGGGUAGCGAAAGGGAUUAGAUACCCCUGUAGUCUUAGCUGUAAACGAUGGAUAGUAGGUGUAGCUCGUAUCGACCCCAGCUGUGCCAAAGUUAACGCGAUAAGUAUCCCGCCUGGGGGGUACGCACGCAAGUGUGAAACUCAAAGGGAUUGACGGGGGCCCGCACAAGCGGUGGAGUAUGUGGUUUAAUUCGAUGCAACGCGAAGAACCUUACCAGGGCUUGACAUGUCGCGAAUCUAGCGGAAACGUUAGAGUGCCUUAGGGAAUGCGAACACAGGUGGUGCAUGGCUGUCGUCAGCUCGUGUCGUGAGAUGUUGGGUUAAGUCCCGCAACGAGCGCAACCCUCGUCCUUAGUUGCCAAUAUUAAGUUAGGCACUCUAGGGAUACUGCCGGGGACAACUCGGAGGAAGGUGGGGAUGACGUCAAGUCAGCAUGCCCCUUACGUCCUGGGCGACACACGUACUACAAUGGUUGGGACAAAGGGCAGCAAGCUCGCGAGAGUAAGCGAAUCUCAUCAAACCCAGCCACAGUUCAGAUUGCAGGCUGCAACUCGCCUGCAUGAAGUAGGAAUCGCUAGUAAUCGCAGGUCAGCAUACUGCGGUGAAUUCGCUCCCGGGCCUUGUACACACCGCCCGUCACACCAUGGAAGCUGGCUACGCCCGAAGUCGUUACCCUAACCCUAAGGGGAGGGGGAUGCCGAAGGUAGAGCUAGUGACUGGGGUGAAGUCGUAACAAGGUAGCCGUACCUGAAGGUGUGGCUGGAUCACCUCCUUU